rnacentral:rRNA from 1 species
CCUGUAAGACUGGGAUAACUCCGGGAAACCGGAGCUAAUACCGGAUAGUUCCUUGACCCGCAUGGUUCAAGGAUGAAAGACUGGUCUUCGGCUGUCACUUACAUGCAUGGACCCGCGGCGCAUUAGCUAGUUGGUGAGGUAACGGCUCACCAAGGCGACGAUGCGUCAGCCGACCUGAGAGGGUGAUCGGCCACACUGGGACUGAGACACGGCCCAGACUCCUACGGGAGGCAGCAGUAGGGAAUCUUCCGCAAUGGACGAAAGUCUGACGGAGCAACGCCGCGUGAGUGAUGAAGGUUUUCGGAUCGUAAAGCUCUGUUGUUAGGGAAGAACAAGUGCAAUACUAACUGCUUGCACCUUGACGGUACCUAACCAGAAAGCCACGGCUAACUACCUGCCAACCGCCCCGGUAAUACCUAAGUGGCAAGCGUUGUCCGGAAUUAUUGGGCGUAAAGGGCUCGCAAGCUGUUUCUUAAGUCUGAUGUGAAAGCCCCCGGCUCAACCGGUGAGGGUCAUUGGAAACUGGGAAACUUGAGUGCAGAAGAAGAGAGUGGAAUUCCACGUGUAGCGGUGAAAUGCGUAGAGAUGUGGAGGAACACCAGUGGCGAAAGGCGACUCUCUGGUCUGUAACUGACGCUGAGGAGCGAAAGCGUGGGGAGCGAACAGGAUUAGAUACCCUGGUAGUCCACGCCGUAAACGAUGAGUGCUAAGUGUUAGAGGGUUUCCGCCCUUUAGUGCUGCAGCUAACGCAUUAAGCACUCGCUGGGGA